AGUUCGGCUGGGCCUCGCACAGGUGCUGCAUGGCUGUCGUCAGCUCGUGUCGUGAGAUGUUGGGUUAAGUCCCGCAACGAGCGCAACCCUCAUCCUUAGUUACCAGCGGGUAAUGCCGGGCACUUUAAGGAAACUGCCAGUGAUAAACUGGAGGAAGGUGGGGAUGAUGUCAAGUCAGCACGGCCCUUAUGGGGUGGGCUACACACGUGCUACAAUGGCGACUACAAUAGGUUGCAGCGUCGCAAGGCUGAGCUAAUCCGUAAAAGUCGUCUCAGUUCGGAUUGUCCUCUGUAACUCGAGGGCAUGAAGUCGGAAUCGCUAGUAAUCGUGGAUCAGCAUGCCACGGUGAAUACAUUCUCAGGUCUUGUACACACUGCCCGUCACGCCAUGGGAAUUGGCUUAACUCGAAGCUGGUGCGCCAACCGCAAGGAGGCAGCCAUUUAAGGUUGGGUCAGUGACUAGGGUGAAGUCGUAACAAGGUAGCUGUAGGUGAACCUGCGGCUGGAUCA
rnacentral:rRNA from 1 species